UUCACUUCACUUUCCAUGCUUUCACUGAAGAACUAGCGCCUGAACCGAUUCUCUUCUCCGAUACCGAUUUGUGAGAAAAAACGUUGAAGAGUUGAAGUCGUCGAAGAAUGUCUGAGCUGAAGAGUUGAAGAGUUGAAGUCAUCGAAGAACUGAGCUGAAGAGUUGAAGAGUUGAAGUCAUCGAAGAACUGAUAGUUGAAGUCGUCUUCUCCGAUAACGAUUUCUUCAAGAAAGGAAUUGAUUACUUUGGGGUUGUUGGCAAGAUGAACUGAAGCUAAUUAAUCUCUCUGUCACGCUUUUCUCUCAAAUUUCUCACUGAAGAACAUGAUUUAAGGCAUAUUUUGUUGAAAUAGGGUUUACAGGAUCCUAUGUUUCAGCCAGAAAUGUCAAGUACCUAUCAACCUGUGAAGUGCAAUGUUGAUUUUACAAUUUGUACCUGCAACAAUGAGAGAGAGAAAUGUAUUUAUGAAAGGCAAUAUGCUGAGAUGAGCUAUAGUAGUUGAGUGCUUGGAGAGGACAUUGUGUUCUUUGGGAAGCAAAGUGAGUUGGCACCCCAGCGGGCUGUUUUUGGAUGUGAAAAUCUGGAAACUGGUGAUCUUUACAGCCAACACAUUGAUGGUAUAAUGGGCUUAGGUCGAGGGGAUCUAAGUAUAGCGGAUCAAUUUGUUGAGAAACAUGUGAUUAGUGAUUCCUUCUCCUUGUGGUAUGGAGGAAUGAAUUUCGGUGGUGGUGCAAUGGUUCUUGGAGGAAUAAACCCUCCUUCUAAGAUGGUUUUUACCCAUUCUUAU